CCCGCACAAGCGGUGGAGCAUGUGGUUUAAUUCGAUGCAACGCGAAGACCUUACCUGGGCUUGACAUCCCGAGAAUCCCCUGGAAACAGGGGAGUGCCUUUCGGGGAACUCGGAGACAGGUGCUGCAUGGCUGUCGUCAGCUCGUGUCGUGAGAUGUUGGGUUAAGUCCCGCAACGAGCGCAACCCUUGUCUUUAAUUGCCAGCAUUCAGUUGGGCACUUUAAAGAGACUGCCGGUGUUAAGCCGGAGGAAGGUGGGAUGACGUCAAGUCCUCAUGGCCUUUAUGCCCAGGGCUACACACGUGCUACAAUGGGUGGUACAAAGAGAUGCCAACUCGCGAGAGCGCGCCAAUCUCAGAAAGCCAUCCUCAGUUCGGAUUGGAGUCUGCAACUCGACUCCAUGAAGUUGGAAUCGCUAGUAAUCGCGGAUCAGCACGCCGCGGUGAAUACGUUCCCGGGCCUU
rnacentral:rRNA from 1 species